rnacentral:rRNA from 1 species
AUUGAACGCUGGCGGCAGGCUUAACACAUGCAAGUCGAGCGAGCGGCGGACGGGUGAGUAAUGUCUGGGAAACUGCCUGAUGGAGGGGGAUAACUACUGGAACCGGUAGCUACUACCGCAUACCAUCAUAUGUGCCCAGAUGGGGGUCGCUAGUUGGUGGGGUAAUGGCUCACCUAGGCGAAGAGCCCUAGCUGGUCUGAGAGGAUGCCCGCCGCCCCUGGAACGGGGACAGGGUCCAGACUCCUACGGGAGGCAGCAGUGGGGAAUAUGGCACAAUGGGCGAAAGCCUUAUGCAACCCGGCCGAGUGUGUGAAGAAGGCCUUCGGGUUGUAAAGAACUUUCAGCGAUGAGGCGUUACUCGUAGAAGAAGCACCGGCUAACUACGUGCCAGCAGCCGCGGUAAUAC